GAUGAACGCUGGCGGCGUGCUUAACACAUGCAAGUCGAACGAAGCACUUUAUUUGAUUUCCUUCGGGACUGAUUAUUUUGUGACUGAGUGGCGGACGGGUGAGUAACGCGUGGGUAACCUGCCUUGUACAGGGGGAUAACAGUUGGAAACGGCUGCUAAUACCGCAUAAGCGCACGGCAUCGCAUGAUGCAGUGUGAAAAACUCCGGUGGUAUAAGAUGGACCCGCGUUGGAUUAGCUAGUUGGUGAGGUAACGGCCCACCAAGGCGACGAUCCAUAGCCGAGCUGGGAGGGUGACCGGCGACAUUGGGACUGAGACACGGCCCAAACUCAUACGGGAGGCAGCAGUGGGGAAUAUUGCACAAUGGGCGAAAGCCUGAUGCAGCGACGCCGCGUGAGCGAAGAAGUAUUUCGGUAUGUAAAGCUAUAUCAGCAGGGAAGAUAAUGACGGUACCUGACGAAGAAGCACCGGCUAAAUACGUG
rnacentral:rRNA from 1 species